rnacentral:tRNA from 1 species
GCUAGCUUGCCAGAGAGGUUAAGAGGGAAGACUUAAGAUCUUCUGCACAUAAGUGCGCGUGGGUUCGAACCCCAUAAUUAGCA